UAUCCAGCGCCUGCGAUGUCUGCCACUCUCCGCCCCUACCUGAGUGCCAUGCGGGCCACACUGCGGGCUGCCCUCUGUCUGGAGAACUUCUCCUCCCAGGUUGUGGAAUGACACAAGCCAGAAGUGGAAGUCAGGAGUAGCAAAGAACUCCUGUUACAACCUGUGACCAUCAGCAGGAAUGAGAAGGAAAAGGUUCUGAUUGAGGGCUCCAUCAACUCUGUCCAGGUCAGCAUUGCUGUGAAACAGGCUGAUGAGAUCAAGAAGAUUUUACGCCACAAAUUCAUGCGCUUCCUGAUGAUGCGAGCAGAAAACUUCUUCAUCCUUCAAAGGAAGCCUGUGGAGGGGUAUGACAUCAGCUUUCUGAUCGCCAACUUCCAUACAGAGCAGAUGUACAAACACAAGUUGGUGGACUUUGUGAUCCCCUUCAUGGAGGAGAUUGACACGGAGAUCAGUGAGAUAAAGCUGUCGGUCAAUGCCCGUGCCCGCAUUGUGGCUGAGGAGUUCCUUAAUUUUUACACCAUCUGGCUGGAUCUUGUGGCCUUCCCCCUCAGACUCCCCAUGUCUCCAUGAAGGCGUCCUGGAGUCACUCUCCAGAACAGCAGCGGCGGCAGCAGGAAGCUGGAUUAGGGUGGGCAUUUGAUAUGGGAGGGGGGUGAUGUGCUUGCUAGCUGGGCAAGAAAGCAGCAGUGGACCUGCCCCAAGGCAGGUCCUGGUCAGGCUGGCUUCUGAUGUUCAGUCCCCUGGGCUGGGACAGAUUUUUUUUUUAAUGUCUUGAAACUUAAACUCUGUGCUUAGAGGAGACUGUAACCUUUUUGUCUUUUUUUUUUUUUUUUUUUUUU